rnacentral:rRNA from 1 species
GACGAACGCUGGCGGCGUGCCUAAUACAUGCAAGUCGAACGCUGAAGGAGGAGCUUGCUCUUCUGGAUGAGUUGCGAACGGGUGAGUAACGCGUAGGUAACCUGCCUGGUAGCGGGGGAUAACUAUUGGAAACGAUAGCUAAUACCGCAUAACAGUAGAUGUUGCAUGACAUUUGCUUAAAAGGUGCAAUUGCACCACUACCAGAUGGACCUGCGUUGUAUUAGCUAGUUGGUGGGGUAACGGCUCACCAAGGCGACGAUACAUAGCCGACCUGUGAGGGUGGUCAGCCACACUGGGACGGAGACACGGCCCAGAGUCCUACGGGAGGCAGCAGUAGGGAAUCGUCGGGAAUGGACGGAAGUCUGAGCGAGAAACGCCGAGUGAGUGAAGAAGGUUUUCGGAUCGUAAAGCUCGGUUGUAAGAGAAGAACGAGUGUGAGAGUGGAAAGUUCACACUGUGACGGUAUCUGACCAGAAAGGGACGGCUAACUACGUG